rnacentral:rRNA from 1 species
UACGUAGAGUGCAAGCGUUAAUCGGAUUACUGGGCGUAAAGCGUGCGCAGGCGGUGAUGUAAGACAGAUGUGAAAUCCCCGGGCUCAACCUGGGAACUGCAUUUGUGACUGCAUCGCUGGAGUGCGGCAGAGGGGGAUGGAAUUCCGCGUGUAGCAGUGAAAUGCGUAGAUAUGCGGAGGAACACCGAUGGCGAAGGCAAUCCCCUGGGCCUGCACUGACGCUCAUGCACGAAAGCGUGGGGAGCAACAGG